GAUGAACGCUGGCGGCGUGCCUAAUACAUGCAAGUCGAGCGAACGGACGAGAAGCUUGCUUCUCUGAUGUUAGCGGCGGACGGGUGAGUAACACGUGGAUAACCUACCUAUAAGACUGGGAUAACUUCGGGAAACCGGAGCUAAUACCGGAUAAUAUUUUGAACCGCAUGGUUCAAAAGUGAAAGACGGUCUUGCUGUCACCUAUAGAUGGAUCCGAGCUGCAUUAGCUAGCUGGUAAGGUAACGGCUUACCAAGGCAACGAUGCAUAGCCGACCUGAGAGGGUGAUCGGCCACACUGGAACUGAGACACGGUCCAGACUCCUACGGGAGGCAGCAGUAGGGAAUCUUCCGCAAUGGGCGAAAGCCUGACGGAGCAACGCCGCGUGAGUGAUGAAGGUCUUCGGAUCGUAAAACUCUGUUAUUAGGGAAGAACAUAUGUGUAAGUAACUGUGCACAUCUUGACGGUACCUAAUCAGAAAGCCACGGCUAACUACGUG
rnacentral:rRNA from 1 species